GACGAACGCUGGCGGCGUGCCUAAUACAUGCAAGUAGAACGCACAGUUUAUACCGUAGCUUGCUACACCAUAGACUGUGAGUUGCGAACGGGUGAGUAACGCGUAGGUAACCUGCCUGGUAGCGGGGGAUAACUAUUGGAAACGAUAGCUAAUACCGCAUCAUAUUGAUUAUUGCAUGAUAAUUGAUUGAAAGAUGCUAUUGCAUCACUACCAGAUGGACCUGCGUUGGAUUAGCUAGUAGGGGAGGUAACGGCCCACCUAGGCGACGAUACAUAGCCGAGCCGGGAGGGUGGUCGGCCAACCUGGGACUGGGACACGGCCCAGACUCCUACGGGAGGCAGCCGGAGGGAAUCUUCGGCAAUGGACGAAAGUCUGACCGAGCAACGCCGCGGGAGUGAAGAAGGGUUUCGGAUCGUAAAGCUCUGUUGUAAGAGAAGAACGGGUGGGAGAGUGGAAAGUUCACACUGUGACGGUAUCUUACCAGAAAGGGACGGCUAACUACGUG
rnacentral:rRNA from 1 species